rnacentral:rRNA from 1 species
ACUCAAAACUCAAGGGACUUGACGGUGUCCCAAACCAACCUAGAGGAGCCUGUCCUAUAAUCGAUAACCCACGCUUCACCUUACCCCCCCUAGAAACCAGUCUGUAUACCACCGUCUCCCAGUUCGCCUGAUGACAGACCCAUAGCGAACACACCAGCCCACCGCUAAAACGACAGGUCAAGGUGCAACUAAUGGGGGGGCAGCGAUGGGCUACAUUUUCUAUAAUAGAACACCACCACCCGCCACAUGAAACAUGGGCCACAAGGCGGAUUUAGCAGUAAGCCAAACA